CUAACGAACACCCAACGAGCGAAUCACCCCUUGCAUUUUGAAUUUGAAGACAUGUCUUCCAAUCUGGCAUCGCUGCCGACAGGCAAUACGAACUGACAAGUUCGUAAAACGAUCUACAGGCGGAAAUAUUAACACAUUUUUUAUAUUUACCAUGGGAAAAGUGACAAAAACUAAAAUAUGUGAAAAAGGAGGCCUCGUUAACGCAAAAGAAAAAGCUUCUUUAUUUCAACAAGUACACAAAAAUCCAAAAGUUACUUAUAUAAAAAAGGCCACAAAAAAAAUUAGCGAAGGUUUCGAAAGUGCUACUUGCGGCUUGAAAAGAAGCGAUAAAACCGGUAAUCCACUAGCGAAAGAAAAGGGUAUUCCUCAGUUAAACCAUUCUCAAAAGGCAAACACCAAAAAAACUACAGAAAAAAGCUUAAAACUAGAUACAGACAAAGAUGUUUUGACUUCCGAAAGUGAAUCUGAUUCUGAGGUUGUCAUUUCAAACCCAAAUGAACUUACAAAUUUGAAGGAAAAACAUUUUAGAGGAACUGAACAUUCUGUUUUCGUAGGUAAUUUGCCUAAAGCCACGAAAAAAUCUGCAGUAAAACAAAUAUUUAAACCUUUUGGUAAAAUAUUAACCGUGCGAUUUCGAUCAUUGGAUGGUGAAGUACUGUUAAAAAAAAAAGAUCGUGAAGCGGCAAAAGCGUUAAACUGUUAUGUUCGCUUUGAAACUAAGGAAGAGGCACAAGCAGCUUGUACCAUGAAUGGGUUUCCAUCAAGCUACGCGGAAAAAGCCCAUUCAAGCGGAAAAGGUCGAUUCAAGCGAUAAGCCGAUAUAUGAACCAUUAUUUAUGUGCGUAAAAAGCGACAUCUGGUAGAAUUUCAAGAAAUCAAACAAUAUUUUAAUUUCAAGUCUAUACGGAAAAGAAUUAAAUUGCCGUUGUUUAAAAACGAAUAAAA